GACGAACGCUGGCGGCGUGCUUAACACAUGCAAGUCGAACGAAGAGCGAUGGAAGCUUGCUUCUUUAAAUCUUCGUGGCGAACGGGUGAGUAACGCGUAAUCCACCUGCCCUUGAGUGGGGGACAACAGUUGGAAACGACUGCUAAUACCGCAUACGAUCUAAUCUCGGCAUCGAGGAAAGAUGAAAGGUGGCCUCUAUUUUUAAGCUAUCAUUGAAGGUGGGGAUUGCGUCUGAUUAGCUAGCUGGGGGGGAAACGGCCCACCAAAGCGAUGCUCAGUAGCCGGUCCGAGAGGAUGAACGGCCAAAAUGGGACUGAGACACGGCCCAGACCCCCUCGGGAGGCAGCAGUGGGGAAUCUUCCGCAAUGGACGAAAGUCUGACGGAGCAACGCCGCGUGAGUGAUGACGGCCGUCGGGUUGUAAAGCUCUGUUAAUCGGGACGAAAGGCCUUCUUGCGAAAAGGUAGAAGGAUUGACGGUACCGGAACAGAAAGCCACGGCUAACUACGUG
rnacentral:rRNA from 1 species